GUCCUCUAUACUGGACUGUAUAAUGACCUAUCAGGUCCUCUAUACUGGACUGUAUAAUGACCUAUCAGGUCCUUUUUUUCUGCAGCGGUGGCAAAGUUAGUGUAGUGGGUGUGGCCAAUGGCACGGUCUCCAACCGAAAAUGAGCAGAGAUAUUUUGGUGUUUUAAAGCUAAAUGUCCUUCAAUUCUACACAUGUUGCUGUGGCUUAUGGCGUGUUCUUAUGCUAUCUGAAUGACUCAAACAGUAUAACUAAAUCAAUGCGGGCCCCAGGACAUGAUAUUUGGGGAAUUUUGAUUCUCCUGACUAAUUUUUAUUUUGGUGAUUUAUAUUUUU
ensembl:lncRNA